GUAAAGACUGAGUCAACUCUAUAAUAAAGAAUGCUGUGUUUAUUUCCUGAAGUGUUGAUUUAGUUAGGCAAAAUAGUGAAAUUUCACUGUUGGCAAUAAUUAUCAUUGUGUUAUUAAAUGUAUUCUUGCUUUUUUGCUUCAGUAUUUUAAGAAGUCUUUUCUUACAGUUUAAUUUUUGAUAUGACAUAAUAUAUUUCAUAAAACAGUUGAUACUUGUAUAAGAUUCUGCACGGAAACAAAUCAUAACAAUAGAAUUAGAAAUUUACCUCAUUGGGCAAAUUUGUGUUUGCCUUAGUACUUAAUAUUGAUUACGUCAGUUAAGAAUAUUCAUGGUUCUUUAGUGAAAAAAAAUUCAUUUUAAUUUCUUCUCUACCUAGGCAGUUACUUCCUCAUUCAGUUGUAUCACCAGGACAGCCACUGGGCCUCUGUGUUACAUUUCAUGAUGCCAAUAUCUAUUUCUUGUUUUGGAUUAUGAGUUUCUUGAGGACAAGAACUAUGCUUUAUUUGCCUUCAUAUCCCGAGUAUCCCUUACAGGACCUUCACACAGACACUGGAGAUCUGAAACUCCGCCAACAAGGCAACUGGGGAAGAGAAGGGCUGAAUGAACACAAAAUUUCUGAUUGCUGCACAAAAUAGGAUCAAAGAAAAGAGAAGAAUAAUCAGAGGUAAUGAUGGUAAUUUGUUUUCUAGUUCAAAUAUAAUUGACCCACACUGAAGACAUAAUUAUGGUACAUUAAGGAGAUUAAAAGAGAGACAAAGGCAAAAGCAUGGAGCGAUGACAACAUGAUUCAAGAUCCUAUAAUUAUGACGUUUUAAAAAUCACAAUAUUUUGCUAUUAGCCUUUCAACCCACAACAUACAGGAAUAGUGGAAAACCAAGCAGAUUCCAUUUCAGUUGUCAGAUUCAUGUUUUCCUUUCUUUUUUAAUGCCUGUUUCUUUCUCUUUUAGUUUCUUCUAACAGCUGCUGGUACUUGAAUGUUAUCUACUAGUAAUAAGCAUGUGGGAAAAUGGAGUGAAACAAUGGUUUAUUUAGGAGGGAGUCUGUAAUGAUAAUUUCCCACUCUUUCCUUUUCAUCCAUCUUAAGCUUGCAUAUUUUGGACUGAGUCUGAAAUCCUAGAAGCCUGAGCUGAAACUGAUUUCAGUUAAGUAUUUCCCAAAGUGUGACUUAUAAGGCACGUAAGAUGCUUUAAGGUUGUAUGUGGACAAGUUUUUAAUUGUGUCAGUUAUGGAUAUAUUUUAAUGAGCAUUGAAAAUGUUAUUCAUCCUUUAAAUCUAUGCUGUUGUGGUUAUUAUCUGGUUAGGAUGAGACCAGGUAAAAACAGUGAGUCAAUUUAAGGGUUAACACUAUAUAAAUAAUUGUACCAAUGGUGCAUGACAUUGGUACAAAUCAUGAGAGUGGCCGGGGAAUUACUGGCAUUUCUGAAACGUUGUUUUGGCCGGGGAAUUACUGGCAUUUCUGAAACGUUGUUUUAGUCUCCCUUUUCCCUCAUCCCAUAGCACUGUCUGUUUGCUGUUCUAGGGUUAUAUAAUGAAACAGAGGUGGGGUGGCAGUUCUGAAACACCAGUUAUGAAAUCGUGGACAUUUUGGUGCUAACUAAUAACUACACUAGUAUUCCCAGCAAUCUCUAAUCUCCAGAGAUCUGGGCUUUGAAUUGUGUAACAAAUCAACUGCUGUCUGCCGGCAGGUCAGUGAUUCGUCGACAGAGUAUUCGAAGAGAAAGCCAUAGAUAUCACUGAGGUUGAAUAAUGAAGCAGGGAUGCGCAUGUUUUUCUAACUCAGCGUGUGUGUGUGAGGAGUUGCAG
ensembl:lncRNA